rnacentral:tRNA from 1 species
GAGGGUAUAGCUCAAGUGGUAGAGCGCAUGCUUAGCAUGCACAAGGUCCUAGGUUCAAUCCCUAGUACCUCCA